rnacentral:rRNA from 1 species
UACGAAGGGGGCUAGCGUUGCUCGGAAUUACUGGGCGUAAAGGGCGCGUAGGCGGCGCGGUAAGCGUGCGGUGAAAGCCCGGGGCUCAACCCCGGGUCGGCCGUGCGGACUGCCGGGCUGGAGCACUGUAGAGGCAGGUGGAAUUCCGGGUGUAGCGGUGGAAUGCGUAGAGAUCCGGAGGAACACCGGUGGCGAAGGCGGCGUUCUGGACUGCAACUGACACUGAGGAACGAAAGCCAGGGGAGCAAACGGG